AUUCAUUAGAUUGAGCUUCAGGUAAAAAGCAACAGCAAGACAGGAGAAAAAGCGUUCAGAAGACACACAUCAAAUAGCGGAUGAAGACAUAAUUUUAGCCAACUCUGAAGCUUUCGACGCACAAACAGAUUAGGAAGAGGCAACACCUAGAGAGCAAAAGGAGUUUAACAACUGGUUGUCAGUUUAGCGUAGGGAGCGCUCAAAGUAAACUUCUUUAUCCAAGAAGGGAAAGAUGCUCGGGCAGCAAAAGGUAUCCCUUAUGUACUUCAAAAGUAGCGGGCGCUAGGCGGGUGUUUCUGACAGCGUGGGCGGGGGCACGUGGGGCAUAAAGAGAGAAGGGGCUUGAGUGGUGAAAGAGUGUCCUGCUUCCUCCGAGAGCUUAGCUGGGGAGAAGAGCUGGGAGCGACUCGAGCUGAGGACGUGGAAGGGCCCGCUCCGGACACUGCGCUCCAACCAGGAGGAGCAGGAGGAGGAGGAGGAUGAACAAAAUGGCCGCCGCCACCAGCCAGGCAGGAAACAGGGCAGAGCGCAGGCGCGACCCGCCAGGUCACCGCUCAGGCCAGCCGCGACAGCCUGCAAGGGGGACGACCGAGGGGAGAGAAAAAAGGGCCGCCGAGGAAACCCUGGGACCCGCUCACGACGGAUCACGUCGUCGCUGUGGGCCUCUGGCCGGCCGAAGCCCAGCCAGCUCCGGGAGAGAUCGGGCAAAAAGAGAAACGUCGUGAAGCCGAAGUCUCUGGGAAUUGUGGUCCUGGAAAUGAGAGAGGGAAGCACUUCUGCAGAGGACUUCUGGAACCUGUGGUUAAGAGGAGCCGCCGGCGCCCACCCGCGCUGGGACGUGAAGAGGAGACUUCUGGGUAGUGUAGUCAUACGUGAGGACGUGCGACGACCAGGAAGUCGGCGGGCUGGGAGGUAAAGGGAAGAAUAAAAGCGACAUUGAAAGGCGGGGAGACCAAGUGGGGAAAAGCGCUGUCUGGGAAAGCGAACUACAAGUCCCAGAGUUCCUCGCGCCGGGGGCUGUCCUCGGACUGCUCCAGGCAUUGUAAGGCUCUUCUGUUGGCCCAGUCUGAGCUGCUGCUCCGCCUUCGUCCAGCCCGAGAGCGGUUUCUUCAACUGUGGCUCAGGCAGCACUCUCCCUCCGCGUGGUGUCCGAGCCAGCAGGGCCGUCCGGCCCUCCUGUGUUCAUCAGAACGGCUGGCUCGCGUUAGUCAACCGCCGCUUCGCGCGACAGUCAGAAGAGAGGCUGUGCUGGCGGGGACCCGGAGGGGUUGGGGUGUUUUGGGGACUCGAUUUCCCACAAAUAGGUAUUUCUAGCCUAUUUGUUAAAUACAAGUAGGUGGCCUGCUUGUAAAUUGCUUUACAAGUUUCAGAGGUUUCCCUAUCAAAUGUCUCAUCGGAUAGUGGGGUAAGAAGAGGAGCCCUAUUAUAAUGACUUGCCCAACUCCCCCCGUAUUCUUGGAGUUAAAAGAAAAAAAAAUCCUUGGGCAGAGACGUGCACAAACAUAAAGUUGCGUUUACAGACAUCAGUCAUGUGGGCUAGAAACGCAGUUUUGCAUGAAGAUAGGGGAAGCCAUGUUCAUACUAGCUCUGCAUCCCUGUAGAAUUUGUCUUCUCACCCCCCACAACAGUUCCUGGUGUGCUUUUUUCCUCCUCUAAGUACCUUCAGGAGAAAGUACUUGGUCUUGUAGCUUAGUGAAGAGUGGCGAUGAAGAAAGAUCUUUCAGCCCAUUGCCAGAACUUAACUGCCCCGGUUAGUAAUGGCUUAAGAGUUGCUUCUGCCGACAUGUACUAAGUGCAUGUCGACCUCUGCAAGUGGCGGUGCGUAUGCGUGCCACUGAACAUUAAUCUUGAAAGCAGAAUCAACCAUGCAGCAAGCCCUUAUGUUGUCCAUUUUCAGGGGAGGAAAUUUCAACCUGAAAGACUUCAUAGAGACACGGCAAAGGAGUUGAGCCCCAUAAGAGUCCGUAGGAACAACAAAAGGCUCAGACGCCAGGACCCAUGGCUAAAAUGUAUGGGCUGGGGAUGCGGGCGGGAGCGGGGGGAAGGGAACUAAAGCUAGAGAGGACCUUGUAGAACCGUGUUGUCAAGAAUCUAUUUCAUGCUGAGGAAUUUGAGCUUUCUCUUCCAGGCAGUGAGGAGCCACUCAAAGGUUUUGUCUAUGUUUUUAAUUGGACCUAGGUGUAGAACUGGAUUUAAUUAUAAUCCAAUUCAUUAACCCAUGCCUGGCCCGCUGUGAUAGUUUCCUGUUGAUGCUGUAACAAAUUACUGCAAAUUUAGAUACUUAAAACAACACGAAUUUAUUUUCUUACAAUUCUGGAAGUCAGAAGUCCAAAAUCAGUUACACUGGGCUAAAAUCAAGGUGUCGGCAGGGCUGGUUCCUUGCCUUUUCCAGCUUCUAGAGGCUGCCUGCAUUCCUUGGCUCUUGGCCCCAUCCUCCAUCUUCAAGAAAAGAAGCAUAGUAUCUUCUUUCUUCUCUGCCUCUGUACGUACAUCGUGAUUCUCCUGCCACCCCUUUUCAUUUACGAGAACCUUUUGUGAUUACUUUGGGCGAAGAUUAUCUCAAGAUUCUUAAUCACAUCUGCAAAGUCCCUUUUAGCAUAACAUUCCCAAAUUCUGGGAAUUAGGACAUAGAAAUCUUUGGUGGACCAUUAUUCAGUUUACCGCACCCACCUUUAUUACUUUAGUUUUGAUUAUAGCCACAAACCCACCACACUAAAAAGUUAUAAUGACACGAGUUUAUAUCUGUAUCUAUGCUAUACCUCCUACACACAAUAACACACACCCCUGCCUUCGCUUGGGGUAACCAUCUUUCUGAAUCCUGUCUUUACUAUUUAUUGCUUUCCUUCUACAAGGUUUUAUUCCACAUGUACAUAGUCCUAAAAAUCAUAUGUAUAUACAUGUAUAUUUGAGUUUUUUUUUAACUUAGUAAAAAGAAUAUGCCCACUACAAACUAGAAUGGUUAAAAUGGGCAUGUUUACUGGCAGUGAAAUUAUUAAGGUUAAAAUCCAAAACACUAACACCACCAAGUGCUGGUGAGUAUGAAAAGCAACAGGAACUAUCAUUCUUUGCUGGUAGGACUGCAAAAUGUUAUAGCCCCUUUGGAGGACAGCUUGUCAGUUCCUUACAAAACUAAACAUAAUGCCUAGGUACUUACCCAAAUGAGCUGAAAACAUGUUUACAUAAAAACCUGCACACAAAUGUUUACAGCAGCUUUGUUCAUAAUCAUCCCAAAUUGGAAGCAACUAAGAUGUCCUUGAUAUAAGUGAAUGGAUAAACUGUCGUACAAGGUGGUACAUCCAUGCAAAGAAAUAUUGUUCAGUGAUUUUUUUAAAAAGAGCUAUUGAUAUGGUUUGGCUCUGUAUCCCCACCCAAUCUGAUCUUGAAUUGUACUCCCAUAAUUCCCACGUGUUGUGGGAGGGACCUGGUGGGAGAUAAUUUGAAUCCUGGGGGCAGUUUCCCCCAGACUGUUCUUGUGGUAGUGAAUAAGUCUCACGAGAUCUGAUGGUUUUAUCAGGGGUUUCCGCUUUUGCAUCAUCCUCAUUUUCUCUUGCUGCCACCAUGAUUCUGAGGCCUUCCCAGCCAUGUGGAACUCUAAGUCCAAUUAAACCUCUUUUUCUUCCCA
rnacentral:lncRNA from 1 species